rnacentral:rRNA from 1 species
GACGAACGCUGGCGGCGUGCUUAACACAUGCAAGUCGAACGAAGCAAUUUGAUCGGAUCUCGUUCGGAGUGACGAACGUUAUUGACUGAGUGGCGGACGGGUGAGUAACGCGUGGGUAACCUGCCUUGCACAGGGGGAUAACAGUUAGAAAUGACUGCUAAUACCGCAUAACCCGCUAGUACCGCAUGGUACGGACGGAAAAGAUUUUAUCGGUGUAAGAUGGACCCGCGUCUGAUUAGCUAGUUGGUGAGGUAACGGCUCACCAAGGCAACGAUCAGUAGCCGACUUGAGAGAGUGAUCGGCCACAUUGGGACUGAGACACGGCCCAAACUCCUACGGGAGGCAGCAGUGGGGAAUAUUGCACAAUGGGGGAAACCCUGAUGCAGCGACGCCGCGUGAGCGAAGAAGUAUCUCGAUAUGUAAAGCUCUAUCGGCAGGGAAGACAAUGACGGUACCUGACUAAGAAGCUCCGGCUAAAUACGUGCC